rnacentral:lncRNA from 1 species
CCUCAGGCAUAGAUUACCUUAGCUGUAUUUGGCAUAACUUUUAGGAAUUUUGGUCCUUAAUGCUCUUCAACUUCGUACUUUAUUUGGCCCUUUUAACUUUUUUGGAUUCGAGCGUCACUGAUGAGUCUUUUGUAGACGAAACGCGCGUCUGGCGUAUAUACAAAAUUUAGUCCUGGUAUCUAUGAUGAGUUUAUUUAUAUGAAAAACCAAAGUCAUUUUGAUUGCCUAUCUCGUCAGUGGUAGUCGAAACUAAAUGUUAAAAAUUACAUAUACAUUGUAUUCAAAUGUUAAAGAAUAAAUACUACCAAUAAUAGACAGUAAAAUUAGCGGGAAUGACACUGGUACCUUGUAAAAUUAGAUCUUAAUACUUUGACUCUGUCCUACAAAGCUAUAUGUUUUUUUUCCUUAUUAUUGUAUUUACUUUACUACAUAACCUUAUAUAGAUAUUAUUUUUAGUCGUGAUCGUU